CGAGCUCCUCCCUCCCCCGGCAGCCAGCGUCGGAGUAGACGGGAAUGGCUUCCCGCCUCAUAACCAGAUCAACGGCCGCGGUCCUCCUCUCCCACCUCCGCUCCAGGACGCCGAAUCCUACCCACCACCUCCUCACACAUGGAGCUGCCAUGUCCUCCCUUCUGGGACCCACUCACGGCCUUCCUGCCACCGCCAGAUCACGCCCCCUCCUCGAGCCGACUCGGUGGUUCUCUUCGCCGGCGCCGGUGGUGGAGGCGCCGAGGACGGUUGACGGCCUGACUGUGGACUCUAUUGCCGACAAGGGCUGGACGAUCCUCGCCGAGGCCGAGAGCGACUGGCGCAGCCACGCCGCCGCCGUCGCGCAGUCCAUCAGGCUUAUUAAGAAGCGUCUCAAGUGGAAAUGGUUACUGGAGAGGUCGAAGCAGUUGGCUGUGGUAUUGGAGAAGCCAGACCUCUGGGAGGAUCCAGUUUUUGCUGGGAAUGUUAGUCGUGAACAAGGCGAGCUCAUGGGCAAGAUUAAGUCAGUGAACCAAUUCGAGCAACAAUUGAUGGAGCACAUCGACAUGUUGAGGCUUGCACGUGAAGAGGGUGACAAUGAACUCGAGACGGAAUCCAUGCGAGCAUUGGCCGAUAUGAGAAGAGAUGCAAAGGAGAAAGAACUUAAUGCAUUGCUUUCUGGAGAUAAUGACGUUUACCCUUGCUUCAUUGAGGUCCAAGCAGGAGCCGGAGGCGUUGAGAGCAUGGAUCGGGCUGCCAUGGUUAUGAACAUGUACAGAUCAUGGGCUCAGAGACGGGGAUACAGAGUCACUAUAAUAGAAGAAAUACCUGGUGAACUAGCAGGAAUCAAGAGGGCUACUAUCAAAGUUGAUGGUGAGUAUGCAUUUGGAUAUGCGAAAUCUGAAAUAGGAGUUCACAGAUUAGUGCGGAUUUCUCCAUUUGACAGUGGAAAGCGGCGGCACACUUCCUUUGCUGCUGUCGCUGUCAUACCUAUUCUUGGUGAGGCCUCUAGCCGAUACCAGAUAAACGAAUCGGAUCUUCGGAUAGAACGCUUCCGUUCUGGUGGACCUGGCGGCCAGCAUGCCAACACCACAGAAAGUGCUGUUAGAAUUGUGCACAUCCCAACUGGUACAACGGCAACUUGUCAAAAUGAAAGGUCACAACAUAUGAAUAGGGCAUCAGCAAUGGCGGUGCUUCAAUCUAGGUUGGACCAGCUUGAGAUUACCCGUCAAGCGCAGAUGAAUGCAGAGCACACGCAAUCACUGUCUGAAAUAAGCUGGGGAAACCAAAUAAGAUCGUAUGUGCUACAGCCAUACCGUAUGGUCAAAGAUCUCCGGACAAACUAUGAAGUGUCUGAUCCCGAUUCAGUCCUGGAAGGCGACCUGGAUGAUUUCAUACUGAGCUUUUUGUCAUUAUCAUUGGAUAAAGUUGAUGAAAGUGUCUGAACACAAACCAUGUCUAUCAUGUAUUGUUAGCACCAGCAGACCGUGACAGUGCCCAACUGACAGUAAGAGGGGCUAUUAUUUUCUUUACUACACUGACAAAUACAAUGGACAUCUUGAGUGGCGAAAGGUUCGGUGUCUGGGAUAAGGUGCCAUUUUUUUGCUCAUGUUCAGAUGCAUGGAGGCGACCAUAUACAGUAUUUUCUUGUACUGUACUUCAUAGUAUCAGUACUUACAGUAUUCAUAGUGCCACUCUGCUUACCAAAGUAGUAGUUUUUUCUUUUUUGCAUUGCCGUCUGAAAUAAGCUGUAAGCUUUCUGUUGCUCUUGCUGGAGAUGAAGAAUGAAGCAUGCGUACGAGUGAACGCAGCAGCAUCC